CAAAAAAACCCGAGGUGGAGGAGGCGGCUGCGGCGGCCGCGCGAGGUGGUGGCGGCGGCUGCGGUGCGUGCGCGAGGUGGAGGAGGCGGCUCCGGCGGCCGCGCGAGGUGGAGGCGGCGGCUCCGGCGGCCCCGCGAGGUGUAGGAGACGGCUCCGUCGGCCACGCGAGGUGUAGGAGACGGCUCCGGUGGCCCAUCCGGCUGCAUCAGGACCAGCAUCGUGAGUCCAGUGAGAUCCAUUGGUAGUGGUUGCGGCUAGUUCGGAGAUCCAUCUGCAGCGGCUGCAGCAAGCUCAGGCAAGGAGAAGCAUCCUGUUUCACAGCUACAUCGACGGGUUCACGAUCCCUUUUCUAGGACUUUAGGAUAUGGAUAAGAGUUGGAUGAAUUUGCCUGAUAGGUUCUCACAAGGUUAUAUAGCCGGUGUGAAUGCAUUUACCGAAUUUUCCUGUCAGCAAAAUAGAGACAAGGAUGCACUGCUUUGUCCUUGCGAAAGGUGUAUGAAUAUAAGCCAAAAACCUAUCAAUGAAGUCCGAACUCAUCUAGUAUUAUAUGGCAUACAAGUUUCAUACAAGCAUUGGGUUUUUCAUGGUGAACAAGUGGACCUAGAUAUUGAUCCAGUUGAUGAGCCUAUCAAUGAUGAAGAUGAUGAGGAUUUUGAUGGUCUGGACAUGAUUCAAGAUCUGUUAGGAGACAUCCAUAGAGGUACAGCUGGGAUUCAACAGCAAGACCAAGCAGGUAGUGGAAGUAUUGGUGACCAAGCAGGUAGUGGAAAUAUUGGUGCUGAACCUAAUGAAGAAGCAAACAGAUUUGACCGUCUGUUAACAAGUGCACAACGCGAGCUAUACCCAGGCUGCAAAAGUCACUCUAGAUUAUCAUUUCUGUUGAAGCUUGUCCACCUAAAAGAUUUGAAUCAUUAGAGCAACAAAUCAUUCGAGAUGUUGCUCAAACUAAUGAAGGAGGCUUUGCCAUCAGGAGAUUCACUUCCAGCCACAUAUUAUGAAGCAAAAAAGAUGCUGAGAGACCUAGGACUAGGUUAUGAAAGUAUACAUGCAUGUGUUAAUGAUUGUGUGUUGUUCAGGAAUGAAUUGGAAGAAAAUGAUGAGUGUCCAGUUUGCAAGGAAUCAAGGUGGAAGGAACAUAAAGGGAAGAUCAAGCGAGUACCCCGAAAGGUUCUGCGGUACUUUCCUUUGAUACCAAGAUUACAACGAUUAUUCAUGAAUAAGGAAAUAGCUUCAGAUUUGCGAUAUCAUAGUGAUAAGCGCGUAGUUGAAGAAAAUGUGUUGAGGCAUCCAUCCGAUGGUGAAGCUUGGAAAGACUUGGAUAAAAGGUACCCAUGGCUUGCACAAGAACCUCACCAUUUGCGCUUAGGACUUGCUACAGAUGGCUUCAACCCAUUUGGAACUAUGAGUAGCUCUUAUAGUGUAUGGCCUGUUAUUAUAGUUGUGUAUAACUUACCGCCAUGGAAAAGUAUGAAGGAACCAUUCAUGUUGAUGCCUUUAUUGAUACCUGGGAAGAAAACACCUGGAAGAGAUAUUGAUGUUUACUUGAGGCCACUAGUUGAAGAAUUGAAGCUAUUGUUUAACAUUGGAGUGGUUACUUAUGAUGCUUCUAAAGGAGACACUUUUAAUAUGCGUGCAGUAGUGCUAUGGACAAUUAAUGACCUUCCAGCAUUAGGCACACUAUUCGGAUAUGCUACUAUGGGUUAUAAAGCAUGCCCAAUUUGCUUGGAUGAGACAUAUUCAGAGUCAUUUAGAAGCAAAAUUGGUUUCUUGGGUCAUAGGAGGUACCUGCCUAUUCAUCAUAGGUGGCGAAAGAGCAAGGAUUUUAAUGGUAAGAAUGAGGAAGCCCUGAAACCAAAGCUAAUGUCAGGAAGUCAAAUAUUUAUAUUGCUGCAAAAUUUAGACCAUCUAUAGGGCUUCAAGUAUGGAAAACAUCCUGGAAACAAGAAAAGGAAAGCUUCACAGAAGGGUAUGGAAAUCCCUGGGAAGAAUUUCACCAAGCAAAGCAUUUUGUUUGAACUACCGUAUUGGAAGGAUCUUAAACUACCCCAUAAUCUUGAUGUCAUGCAUAUUGAAAAGAACAUUUGCGACAGUUUAUUAGGAACUUUAUUAAACAUAGAUGACAAGACAAAAGAUACACUUAAGGCCCGCAUGGACUUAGAAGAUAUGAAUAUCCGAAAAGAGUUGCACUUGCAACAUAGGGGUAGUAGUAUAGUUAAGCCUCAUGCAUGUUACACACUAUCCCGAGACGAGAAGCAUGAGUUCCUUAAAUUCAUAGAAUCAGUUUGCUUUCCUGAUGGUUUUGCUACAAAUAUAUCUAAUGGUGUGAACUAUAAAGAGGGCAAGAUAGCCGGGCUAAAGAGCCAUGACCUUCACAUACUUCUCCAAAGAAUACUUCUAAUUGGAAUGCGUGGGUUUUUACAUGAAGAUUUCUAUCAAGUACUAUUGCAGCUGGGUAGUUUUUUUCGCCAACUAUGCUCAAAGACAUUAAAGCUUGAUGUGCUAGAGAAGUUGGAGAAACAAAUAGUCAUUGUACUGUGCAAACUAGAAAUGAUUCUUCCACCUGCAUUCUUUGAUGUCAUCGUGCACUUGGCUGUCCAUCUACCUGAACAAGCAAGGCUUGGAGGUCCUGUACAAUAUAGAUGGAUGUUCUUUGUUGAAAGGUUCCUUGGUUCUUUGAAAGGAAUGAUGAGCAAUAGGGCUCGUCCAGAGGGUUCUAUUGCAGAAUCAUAUAUAAUGAAAGAGUGUUCAACUUUUUUCUCGAUGUAUCUCCAUGGAAUUGAGACAAGGUUCAACAGAGCAGAGCGCAACUAUGAUGGAGAGAGGCCACCUCUUGGGCUCUACUCAGUAUUUUCUACUAGAUUCAGGGCAUUUGGCCAUAAAGAUUGUGUGAUCUUAACACAGGAUCAAUAUGACUCCUUGUGUUGGUAUGUGCUCAAUAACUGUGAAGAACUGCAACAGUAUAUAUAUGAACAUGAGGAUGCCUUAGUAGCAGAAGGUAUAAGAAAUGUUCCAAAUAGGCAGUGUAAAGAGUUUGCCAAUUAGUUUCGCCAAAAAGUAAGUCCAUAUAGUUUAUUACAUAUAUAAGAGUAAGCCUUUUCACUAGCUAACUUCUGUUGUUUGUUGCAAAUAGGUGAUAGAUUUACGAAACCAAGGAUCAUCUCAAGUAUCUGAUUGUUUGUAUGCAUUAGCUAUUGGUCCCCAUAAAAAAGUAGACAUAUAUUCUGGUUGCAUCGUUGGUGGAAUCAGAUUUUUGACAAAGAAGCGUGAAGAGGGUCGAAAAACUCAGAACAGUGGAGUAUGUGUUGAGGGGCCACAUAAGGGAAAAUUGAUAACAUAUUAUGGUAUUCUUACAGAUGUAUAUGUCUUGAGUUAUCCCAAUGAGCGACAGGUUGUUUUAUUCAAGUGUGAAUGGUAUGACCUUGAGAGAAACAAGCCCGUGAGGAUUGACAAUGACUUUGGUAGCAUUAACUUGGGAAAGAAAUGGUAUAUAGAUGACUCUUUUGUGCUAGCUAGUCAAGUGAAUCAGGUCUUUUAUGUAGCUGAUACAAAACUAAAAGGUAAUUGGCAUGUAGUCCAAAAAGUCAGCCAUCGCCAUCUAUUUGACCAAGAGAUUUGGAGCUCGACAAAUGAAAGUGACAUUGAUAUUAAUAUUAGUGAUGAUAUUGCAUUUCAAGAGGAGGGGGGUGAUGUUCUACUGGAUGAAACUUUUGAAGCUAUCAUGUUGCAUCGAGAUGAUGUUAGGCCAGAAGUAGUGACUGAUCCAAAAGAGCUAGCAGCUUUGAAAGAACAGCCUAUUUCUCGAAAUGAGUAUGAGGAGGAAGCUGAGUAGAGAUUCUUUUAGAUAGAUGGCACCAGGGCAAAAAACUCGACAGCUUCGCAACUUAGCACAUGCUCAAGAUCGGUGUUCUAAAAGAUCUGCUGGAACUUCAUCGGCAACAUCUGUGAGGAAAGUUCGGGGAAUCAAUAAAGGGAAAGGCUUGGAUCGACUAAUAAAAAAAACAGGAGGCAAACCAAUCAAGUUAAAUAUUUCAGUUGAGAGAAGGCCUGUUGGUGAAAACAAUGAGUUGUUUUCUUGGGAAAUUGGAAUUAUUACUCGCUACCAUGCACCUAUCCAGUGUAUUGGUUGGCAAAAUAUGACUGAAGUUGACAAGGAAGCACUACAUACACUACUAAAGCUUAAAUUCGAUCUUGAUCUCAAUGAAGAAAAUGUAAAAGGUUGUGUGGAGUUGAUGUUUUCUUCUAGUUACAAAAGUUUCCGCCAUAGAUUCUAUGAGCACUAUGUGAAGCAUGGAGGUGGAGAGAACGCACGAAUGAAUCCUCACAAAGCACUUGAAGACCGUCUUGCUGACUGGUUCUGGUUGUGUGAUCAUUUUGAGACAGAAGAGUUUCAGAAACGAUCAACAAUAGGAAAGGACAACCGUUCAAAUUUGCCAUACAUGCAUUGGAAGGGAACAAAAUCAUUUGUAGCACUCCAACAUGAACUUGGAUGUGGUGAUAUAACAUUGUACAAAGAAUGUUAUAGUAAUGAUAAAGGAUGGGCUUCAAGUGAUGCUAGAGAAAAGCAUGAUCAAAUGGUAAGGAUGCAAGAAGAAUCCAUGCAACAGGAUGAAAUACCUUUGACAGAGCCGCAAAUAUGUGAGAAGGUGCUCGGGAAGGCAUAUGGGUAUAUUAGAGGGAGAGGUCAUGGCCCAAAACCUAAUAGAAGAGCUACAUCAACUUCAACAAGGACCUAUCAACAGAUGGAAGAAGAGUUGGCUUCUACAAAACAAACUGUUGCAGUACAGCAAAACCAACUUGCUGUACAACAAAACCAGCUUGAAUCUCAACAAAAACAACUUGAUUGGUUGCACAGUGUUGUGUCUAAACUUGCUGGUAUCCCAACUCCUUGUAUGGAUGCUAAUGGUACAUCAGUGCCGGCUUACACAGCUACAACCUCAAAUGAUGGAUCUACUUUUGUUAAAUUUAUUUGAUAGAUUCACUGGUUUCGGAUGGAAUCUCAAGGAGAUCAUGCACCUGAAGAUCUUUUGCUUCUGUUAUGUCCCUUUCUUAAAACUCCACUGUUAUCACUUGGUAGUGCCCUUCAACAUAUUGCCUGAUUCCACUACUAUAGGAAAAAUGGACCUGACAACAUGGCGACACUGCGAUAUCAAAUACCAUGUCAAGUUGAAGCCUUACAUUGAACAAACAAUGGCUUAUUAAUUACUGUAAAUGCCAUGAAUGUAUUAAAAUGUCAAAAGAUUCACAUCUAAAUAGGCUACUGCCUUGAAUCACAACCAUAGCCUUUGCCUUUGGAUAUAUUUGUUGAUUUAAAUGUAAUUAUAUUUGACAUAUGGAUUUUUUCCCUGGAUGAUCUUAUUUGACAUAUGGAUUAUUGUAAUUGUAUUUUGCUAGAUCUAACUACUUCUGUAGUCAAUGUUGUGGAUG